rnacentral:rRNA from 1 species
CCUACGGGGGGCAGCAGUAGGGAAUAUUGCUCAAUGGGGGAAACCCUGAAGCAGCAACGCCGCGUGGAGGAUGAAGGUUUUCGGAUUGUAAACUCCUUUUGUUAGAGAAGAUAAUGACGGUAUCUAACGAAUAAGCACCGGCUAACUCCGUGCCAGCAGCCGCGGUAAUACGGAGGGUGCAAGCGUUACGCGGAAUCACUGGGCGUAAAGAGCGCGUAGGCGGGAUAGCAAGGCAGAUGUGAAAUCCUAUGGCUUAACCAUAGAACUGCAUUUGAAACUGUUAGUCUAGAGUAUGGGAGAGGUAAGUGGAAUUCUUGGUGUAGGGGUAAAAUGCGUAGAGAUCGAGAGGAAUACUCAUUGCGAAGGCGACCUGCUAGAACAUAACUGACGCUGAUGCGCGAAAGCGUGGGGAGCAAACAGGAUUAGAUACCCUUGUAGUC